rnacentral:lncRNA from 1 species
AAAUUGUAUUAUUAUGCCACUCAUUUAUAUAGGGCCAUUAAAGUGACUAGUGCACAGCCUUGAAACUGUUUCAGAAAGUCAAAUCUCUCCAUCGCAACCACAGAGCACAGUGGUGUCUCAGAGAUAUGAAGUUGUGAAAGGUGUGAAUGCUGGCACAAAAGUCAGCCAGCAAUCACUUUCAGUUUUAGUCUGCACACCUCUCGACCUUAACAACACCGACAAUGAGCAAAGAGUGGAUAGCGUGCUUGAAAAAUCAGCUGAAGAAGAGUCCUUUUUAUUCAAAUGCAAUUAUUGGCUUUUUAAUGGUGGGACUUGAGAAACUCGUGGAGAUGGACUUUGCAUGUCCUUGUAAACCAGCGAUGAACCUGCUGUUUUCUGCAGCAUAUUUUGUGGUUCCUGCUCUGUUCUCCAGCGCACUCAUGUUUUAUAUUCAAAGCCCACAAUGCAAAACAAAGUGUCUGCUCUCCACGGUAACCUGCAUCAUUCCAGCGGUUGUUUGGAUCAUGCUGCUGCUCUUUGAUGGACAAUACUUUGCCUGUGCGAAAACCUCCUGGGAAGGACUGACGGUUCACACGGAUAUAUCUGCUUCAACAACAUGGUGUCAGCCUUUGAUCAAUUCUAACAACAUCACUGAAAAGCAAAUGGCAUUUUUUGGCUUUCGAAAUACUUCUCAGAUAGUGGCACUGGCCAUGCUGGCUCUGAGCUCUCUGCCCCUAUUUAUAAUUGGAUGUAUGAGGUGUCGCCAUCAAACAGCAGGAACCAAAGAACCUGAAGCUGAACAAGUGGAAAUGGUGGAUCCUGGUCAAAGUUCAACUCCCCCUCGUGAAAGAUCUUCAUUAAUGGAGGAUGAACGAGGUGCAUCUUCUGAACAGCUGUAAAUACAGAAGCUUUAAACAGAGGUUUUGCAAAGCACCAUUAAUUGUCACAAACCUCAUGUUUAAAAUGGUACAAAAAAGGGGAAACAACAACAUUUGUAGCACAUUCUCAUCUAGCUGUACCACAAAGUGCAUUUGUUUCUCAGACGUCUUGGCGUCAUUGACAGCAAGAAACCACAUCCUGUAAUUCAGUGCACUGUGUUAAGUAACAUGGUGCUCACGUUUGCU